rnacentral:lncRNA from 1 species
CCUGGAGCCUGGAGCCUGGGUCACUACCUCGCUACGAUGUUUUCCUAGAAACAUGAUUGUUUAUUGGCAUUGAUCUCACAGUCUGGUGAGGACUUCUUUACUGAUAAUGUCAAGUUCAGGUUACCCUCCCAACCAAGGAGCAUUCAGCACAGAACAAAGUCAUUAUCCUCCUCACUCUGUAAAGUAUACGUUUCCCAGCACCCACCACCAGCAGGAUCCAGCAUUUGGAGGCAAACAUGAAGCUCCAUCCUCUCCAAUUCUGGGGCAACCGUGUGGAGAUGAUCAAAAUGCUUCACCUUCAAAACUUUCAAAGGAAGAGUUAAU